UAUAGACGUGACAUUCAGACGACUUUGUAAUGGAUUCUACUGGCUGGCAAACCAAACGAUAGGUUGGCGGAACAGGAGUAGAAGACCAGAUGUGCAGUGGCGAAAAUGUAGCCCUAAAUUUUUCAGAGCACGUCCUCCAAGAGUUAACAACGUAUCGCGACGUGCCGCAGACCUCAACAAUAGAGGGGAUCCUGCAGCGGCCCACGCCGUUGCCGAGCAACAGUUGGAGCGAUUGGUGAACGGCGCGAAUCUAUCCGUCCUCUAGUCAACAGUGUCUUAAGAAAGCCGCGAACUGCAGUAAGAAUGCAGAGCCACGAUAGCAGUUAGAAGUGAAAUUUUCCUUCAAAAGAAGUGGAAUGAAAUGGGAAGUGCAACGAGAUCUUUAGUUCAAAAAAAAAAUUAAACUUUUGAGAAAAUGCUUUUGAAAUAAAAAAUUAUUAUUGGGAGACUUGUUGGAGAA